AUUGAACGCUGGCGGCAUGCCUUACACAUGCAAGUCGAACGGCAGCGGACCUUCGGGUGCCGGCGAGUGGCGAACGGGUGAGUAAUAUAUCGGAACGUACCUUUCAGUGGGGGAUAACGUAGCGAAAGUUACGCUAAUACCGCAUAUUCUGUGAGCAGGAAAGCAGGGGAUCGCAAGACCUUGCGCUGAUUGAGCGGCCGAUAUCAGAUUAGCUAGUUGGCGGGGUAAAGGCCCACCAAGGCGACGAUCCGUAGCUGGUCUGAGAGGAUGAUCAGCCACACUGGAACUGAGACACGGUCCAGACUCCUACGGGAGGCAGCAGUGGGGAAUAUUGGACAAUGGGGGCAACCCUGAUCCAGCCAUGCCGCGUGUGUGAAGAAGGCCUGGUUGUAAG
rnacentral:rRNA from 1 species